rnacentral:rRNA from 1 species
GACGAACGCUGGCGGCGUGCUUAACACAUGCAAGUCGAACGGAAAGGCCCUGCUUUUGUGGGGUGCUCGAGUGGCGAACGGGUGAGUAACACGUGAGUAACCUGCCCUUGACUUUGGGAUAACUUCAGGAAACUGGGGCUCAUACCGGCUAGGAGCUCCUGCUGCAUGGUGGGGGUUGGAAAGUUUCGGCGGUUGGGGAUGGACUCGCGGCUUAUCAGCUUGUUGGUGGGGUAGUGGCUUACCAAGGCUUUGACGGGUAGCCGGCCUGAGAGGGUGACCGGCCACAUUGGGACUGAGAUACGGCCCAGACUCCUACGGGAGGCAGCAGUGGGGAAUAUUGCACAAUGGGCGGAAGCCUGAUGCAGCAACGCCGCGUGCGGGAUGACGGCCUUCGGGUUGUAAACCGCUUUCGCCUGUGACGAAGCGUGAGUGACGGUAAUGGGUAAAGAAGCACCGGCUAACUACGUG